rnacentral:sRNA from 1 species
GCUGGGCGUGGUGGUGCACACCUGUAAUUCCAGUGACUCAGAAGGCUGAGGGAGGAGGAUCUUGGGUACAAGGCCAGCUUUGGCAAUUUAUCAAGGACUUAAGGAAUUUAACAAGAUCCUGUCUCAA